GAAGAGAUCUAUAAAGUGCCAUCUUC
rnacentral:piRNA from 1 species